rnacentral:rRNA from 1 species
AGAGUUUGAUCCUGGCUCAGAUUGAACGCUGGCGGCAGGCCUAACACAUGCAAGUCGAGCGCGAAAGUCUUCGGAUGAGUAAAGCGGCGAACGGGUGAGUAGUGCAUGGGAAUCUGCCUGGUAGUGGGGGACAACGUCUCGAAAGGGACGCUAAUACCGCAUACGCCCUACGGGGAAAGGGGGGGAUCUUCGGACCUCUCGCUAUCAGAUGAGCCCAUGUCAGAUUAGCUAGUUGGUGAGGUAAAGGCUCACCAAGGCGACGAUCUGUAACUGGUCUGAGAGGAUGAUCAGUCACACUGGAACUGAGACACGGUCCAGACUCCUACGGGAGGCAGCAGUGGGGAAUAUUGGACAAUGGGGGCAACCCUGAUCCAGCCAUGCCGCGUGUGUGAAGAAGGCCCUAGGGUUGUAAAGCACUUUCAGUGGGGAGAAAGGUUAUUCACCUAAUACGUGAGUAGAUUGAUGUUACCCACAGAAGAAGCACCGGCUAACUCCGUG